rnacentral:lncRNA from 1 species
CCCCCACUUGCUGAAGAGGUAGAAAGGGUCCCUACCCUUCCUUUGGGGAUCUGAGCCCUUCUAAAAAUGAAGAGGAUCAAAGUCACCGAUGCCACAGUGCAGAGUACAUUGGAGCAACAGCUGCCCCGUUUGUGCCCUCGUGAAUAACAAUGACAAAUUCCAGAACUAACGAUCCAUAGAGGGGACUGGUCUGGUAGGCUUCCUGACUCCAAAGCAGGUUCUCUAUCACUCUGCCAAGCUCUCUUUCAUGCUAAGUGACUACUAAAUGUGAGACACUGUACUGGGUCCUCAGAGCACAAAGGUAUGAGGCUGAGGGUGAACCCUAAUGAACCUACAUUUGGGGCUCAAGCUUUAUUAGCCCUCUCCCAGGCUUGGUAGAAGAGAAGGGGGCUUGGACCCUCUGCGGCUCCUGUGUGGUGGGCUCAGAUGACACUCCCAUUUUUAUAGCCUUUGCCAAGGGAAGGAAAGGAAAGGGGGCAGAGGGAUGGGGGUGGAGAGUAGAGAAGAACAGAAGAAUGCAGAGGGAAGAGAGGCAGAAAAAGGAAGAGAAGAGGCAAACUGGCAAUUCUGCAGUUUGUACAGGAAUGGGGGGGAGGCUCCAAGUAAUGGCUUUAGGGAUGAUCUGUGGAUUUCAUUUAUCUGUACACAGAUACCCAAGACUUGGCUGUGUUCCCAUCUCCCAAAGUCCUGGACAGUUUCAAGCUGCCCAUAGACUCCCGCAGCAGCUUAAACAAAGCUGGAGCAAAUACAAAACAUUCUGUUUGGCAUUCAAAGUCCUUCAUAAAAAACUGUGGGAGUAGAAACACAGAAGAAAAACAACUGCUUGAACACAUUGGUCUAUGGGGAUAUGGCUGGGGAUAUAGACUCUAAAUGAUCAUCCUAGUGCAAACAUCAACAACAUGGAAAUAGGUUCUGACCAAGGACACAUGUAAUACCCAAUGGAAUUGUGCAUCAGCUACCGGA